rnacentral:piRNA from 1 species
UGGUAGAAAUCUCUGAGGAU